rnacentral:tRNA from 1 species
GCUGGGUUAGCUCAGCUGGUUAGAACAUGGUGCUAAUAACACCAAGUUCACAGGUUCAAUCCCUGCUUACUGCA